rnacentral:rRNA from 1 species
ACGCUCGACACCUACGGGGGGCAGCAGUGGGGAAUAUUGCACAAUGGGGGAAACCCUGAUGCAGCGACGCCGCGUGAGCGAAGAAGUAUCUCGGUAUGUAAAGCUCUAUCAGCAGGGAAGAAAAUGACGGUACCUGACUAAGAACGCCCCGGCUAACUACGUGCCGGCAGCCGCGGUAAUCUGAGCGGGCUGGCAAGGC